rnacentral:rRNA from 1 species
AUACGUAGGGGGCGAGCGUUGUCCGGAAUGAUUGGGCGUAAAGGGCGCGUAGGCGGCCCGGUAAGUCUGGAGUGAAAGUCCUGUUUUUAAGAUGGGAAUUGCUUUGGAUACUGUCGGGCUUGAGUGCAGGAGAGGUAAGUGGAAUUCCCAGUGUAGCGGUGAAAUGCGUAGAGAUUGGUAGGAACACCAGUGGCGAAGGCGACUUACUGGACUGUAACUGACGCUGAGGCGCGAAAGUGUGGGGAGCAAACAGGAUUAGAUACCCUGGUAGUCCACACUGUAAACGAUGAAUGCUAGGUGUAGGGGGUAUCGACCCCUUCUGUGCCGCAGUCAACACAAUAAGCAUUCCGCCUGGGGAGUACGGCCGCAAGGUUGAAACUCAAAGGAAUUGACGGGG